CUGAAUAGGCGGGCUUCGAUCCUGCGAUAAACUAGUUAACAGCUAGUUACCCAAACCAGCGGGCUUCUAUUC
rnacentral:tRNA from 1 species